rnacentral:rRNA from 1 species
UACGUAGGGUGCGAGCGUUGUCCGGAAUUAUUGGGCGUAAAGAGCUCGUAGGCGGUCCGUCGCGUCGAAUGUGAAAACCCGGGGCUCAACUCCGGGCUUGCAUUCGAUACGGGCGGACUAGAGUUCGGUAGGGGAGACUGGAAUUCCUGGUGUAGCGGUGAAAUGCGCAGAUAUCAGGAAGAACACCCGUGGCGAAGGCGGCUCUCUGGAACGCAACUGACGCUGAGACGCGAAAGCGUGGGGAGCAAACAGG